rnacentral:rRNA from 1 species
AUUGAACGCUGGCGGCAGGCCUAACACAUGCAAGUCGAGCGAGCGGCGGACGGGUGAGUAAUGUCUGGGAAACUGCCUGAUGGAGGGGGAUAACUACUGGAAACGGUAGCUACUACCGCAUACCAUCAGAUUUUCCCAGAUGGGAUUAGCUAGUAGGUGGGGUAAUGGCUCACCUAGGCGACGAUCCCUAGCUGGUCUGCGAGGAUGACCAGCCACACUGGAACGGAGACACGGUCCAGACUCCUACGGGAGGCAGCAGUGGGGAAUAUUGCACAAUGGGCGCAAGCCUGAUGCAGCCAUGCCGCGUGUAUGAAGAAGGCCUUCGGGUUGUAAAGUACUUUAAGCGAGGAGGCGUUACUCGAAGAAGAAGCACCGGCUAACUCCGUGCCAGCAGCCGCGGUAAUAC